AUACGUAGGGGGCGAGCGUUGUCCGGAAUGAUUGGGCGUAAAGGGCGCGUAGGCGGCCCGGUAAGUCUGGAGUGAAAGUCCUGUUUUUAAGAUGGGAAUUGCUUUGGAUACUGUCGGGCUUGAGUGCAGGAGAGGUAAGUGGAAUUCCCAGUGUAGCGGUGAAAUGCGUAGAGAUUGGGAGGAACACCAGUGGCGAAGGCGACUUACUGGGCCGUAACUGACGCUGAGGCGCGAAAGCGUGGGGAGCGAACAGGAUUAGAUACCCUGGUAGUCCACGCGGUAAACGAUGAAUGCUAGGUGUAGGGGGUAUCGACCCCUCCUGUGCCGGAGUGAACACAAUAAGCAUUCCGCCUGGGGAGUACGGCCGCAAGGUUGAAACUCAAAUGAAUUGACGGGG
rnacentral:rRNA from 1 species